rnacentral:lncRNA from 1 species
UAUAUUAGAUACCAUACAAAUAUGUCAAAUUCAGUUAUGAUUUCACCUAGUAUUCAUGACAUGUAAAUUUAAAAGGAAAAAGGUGAUAGUAGGAUAUUUCAUCUAAUUCCUGCUCUUUUCUUUUGCUAUUGUGCAGUUGAAGUGUUAGUGCUUGAGAAGGGUAAAGACUUAGAUUUUCUGGUACUUGUAUGUUGGCAUAUUUUAUUAUAGAAGAUGGAUGCUAAAGCCUAAACUCUAAAGGGAAUAUAAGCAGAGGGGUAUAGAGGGAAUUUAAGUAUACCUUGGUACUAUUUAGUGGCUUAGUAGAAAUUUAUAAGGUACCCUCUAUCUCUUGAAAGGUUGUAUGACCUGCUUAGUUUGUGUACUAAUUAAGACUCGAGUAUUACACUUUGACAUGUUGUCAACCUUUGUUUACUUUCCAUAUUUCAUGUCUAUUAUCCUGUAAGAUAGGCUUCCAAGUUUAUUUGACAUAUGUAUUGAUAAUCUAUUCUCUUAACUCAAUUAUAUUUUCAACUA